rnacentral:tRNA from 1 species
GGCCUUAGCUUAUCGGCAGAGCGUCCCUAACAUGGGAAUAGCCGGGUUCGACUCCCGGAGGCCU